rnacentral:rRNA from 1 species
CCUACGGGUGGCUGCAGUCGAGAAUCAUUCACAAUGGGGGAAACCCUGAUGGGGCGACGCCGCGUGGGGGAAUGAAGGUCUUCGGUAUGUAAAGCUCUAUCAGCAGGGAAGAAAAUGACGGUACCUGACUAAGAAGCCCCGGCUAACUACGUGCCAGCAGCCGCGGUAAUACGUAGGGGGCAAGCGUUAUCCGGAUUUACUGGGUGUAAAGGGAGCGUAGACGGCGGUGCAAGCCAGAUGUGAAAGCCCGGGGCUCAACCCCGGGACUGCAUUUGGAACUGUGCUGCUAGAGUGUCGGAGAGGCAGGCGGAAUUCCUAGUGUAGCGGUGAAAUGCGUAGAUAUUAGGAGGAACACCAGUGGCGAAGGCGGCCUGCUGGACGAUGACUGACGUUGAGGCUCGAAAGCGUGGGGAGCAAACAGGAUUAGAUGCCCGUGUAGUC